UACGUAGGUGGCAAGCGUUGUCCGGAUUUACUGGGCGUAAAGAGCGCGCAGGCGGUCGUCCAAGUCGCGUGUGAAAGCCCCCGGCUCAACUGGGGAGGGUCACGCGAUACUGGUCGACUCGAAGGCAGGAGAGGGUAGUGGAAUUCCCGGUGUAGUGGUGAAAUGCGUAGAUAUCGGGAGGAACACCAGUGGCGAAGGCGGCGACCUGGGACGAUACUGACGCUGAGGUGCGAAAGCGUGGGGAGCAAACAGG
rnacentral:rRNA from 1 species